GGGAGGCGGGCGGAGGUGGGGAAAUGGGUGCCCCCCAGUCCUUCCACCCUCCUCAUUCGUUCAGGGCAGCGGGAUUCCCGAAUCCUCCUUUCCCCCAACACGCAGGCACUCGCAGAGUCCCGCACCCACUUCUGUCCGGCAACCGCUGCUCCAGAGCAAGAGAACCUCCGAGCUGGACAAUCCAUCUCCCGGCUGCCAGGUGUGGCCAGAGGGGGAUGUGAGCCAAGUAAUGUCAUCAGAGCCUUAAGACGUUGGAAUCUUAGUUCCCCAACCAGGGACUGAACCCGGGCCACGG